GAGAACUCGGGUGAAGGAACUAGGCAAAAUGGUGCCGUAACUUCGGGAGAAGGCACGCUGAUAUGUAGGUGAAGCGACUUGCUCGUGGAGCUGAAAUCAGUCGAAGAUACCAGCUGGCUGCAACUGUUUAUUAAAAACACAGCACUGUGCAAACACGAAAGUGGACGUAUACGGUGUGACGCCUGCCCGGUGCCGGAAGGUUAAUUGAUGGGGUUAGCGGUAACGCGAAGCUCUUGAUCGAAGCCCCGGUAAACGGCGGCCGUAACUAUAACGGUCCUAAGGUAGCGAAAUUCCUUGUCGGGUAAGUUCCGACCUGCACGAAUGGCGUAAUGAUGGCCAGGCUGUCUCCACCCGAGACUCAGUGAAAUUGAACUCGCUGUGAAGAUGCAGUGUACCCGCGGCAAGACGGAAAGACCCCGUGAACCUUUACUAUAGCUUGACACUGAACAUUGAGCCUUGAUGUGUAGGAUAGGUGGGAGGCUUUGAAGUGUGGACGCCAGUCUGCAUGGAGCCGACCUUGAAAUACCACCCUUUAAUGUUUGAUGUUCUAACGUUGGCCCCUAAUCGGGGUUGCGGACAGUGUCUGGUGGGUAGUUUGACUGGGGCGGUCUCCUCCUAAAGAGUAACGGAGGAGCACGAAGGUUGGCUAAUCCUGGUCGGACAUCAGGAGGUUAGUGCAAUGGCAUAAGCCAGCUUGACUGCGAGCGUGACGGCGCGAGCAGGUGCGAAAGCAGGUCAUAGUGAUCCGGUGGUUCUGAAUGGAAGGGCCAUCGCUCAACGGAUAAAAGGUACUCCGGGGAUAACAGGCUGAUACCGCCCAAGAGUUCAUAUCGACGGCGGUGUUUGGCACCUCGAUGUCGGCUCAUCACAUCCUGGGGCUGAAGUAGGUCCCAAGGGUAUGGCUGUUCGCCAUUUAAAGUGGUACGCGAGCUGGGUUUAGAACGUCGUGAGACAGUUCGGUCCCUAUCUGCCGUGGGCGCUGGAGAACUGAGGGGGGCUGCUCCUAGUACGAGAGGACCGGAGUGGACGCAUCACUGGUGUUCGGGUUGUCAUGCCAAUGGCACUGCCCGGUAGCUAAAUGCGGAAGAGAUAAGUGCUGAAAGCAUCUAAGCACGAAACUUGCCCCGAGAUGAGUUCUCCCUGAGACUUAGAGUCUCCUGAAGGAACGUUGAAGACGACGACGUUGAUAGGCCGGGUGUGUAAGCGCAGCGAUGCGUUGAGCUAACCGGUACUAAUGAACCGUGAGGCUUAACCUU
rnacentral:rRNA from 1 species